CCUGCCCCUAGUGGCCUUGCAGGUGUGGCUGCUGUGUCACAUGGGCGUCAGCAGGCGGCAGGAGAGAGGCUAUGUCUAUGCUCUAUGCUCUGACCCGUGAACAUCUGAAUGAUUAAUAACCUAACAUU